UGUAAGUUCCUCUUCUCCUUCAGAUUCAGAGAACUUCUUUGUUUUUAAUUUCAUCAGGUCUUGAUUGGGUUUUCUAAUAUGACUGGGUUUUUGUGUAUGAGCUAUCAACUUCUUCAUCGUCUUCAUCAGAGAGAACAAUACCCAUCAGGGUUGAAGAAUUUCACGAACACAUUGUUCCUCUGUCUCGGAUUUGAUGGCAAGCAAAUUGGGUUUUGCAAAAUUAAAGGAAAAUCUUCCAAUCAAGUUGGAUGCUUUGGUUUUAAUUGUAGAUACUGUCCAAUCUAUGAAUCCAUUCAAAUUUUAAUUGCAAUCUCUGCCGAGAGGUUACUAAGCCCUGUGGGGCCUCUACUUUGAUGUGUUGGAUGAGGAAUUUAUAUUCGAUUGAUGAGAAUGUUCAGAGGGAAACCAGAUUGAUGGGUAGUGGAAGCAUAUUCUGUUAGUAUAAAGGGGGAGAUUGUUAGUAUAGGAAUUGUAUGUUGGCAUUCCCCUUAUACAAAACUUGAGUGUUCUAGCUAAAAGUGUGUGAGUGUUUUGAUCUAAGCAUUUGGAUCAGUAACACAAGACAAGGACCCACUGACUCAUACGAAAUUUGGGCUGGUGUCCCCUCACAUGGACUUGCAAGUUGAGCCUUUAAACAAAGUUCUUUUAAGAAGUCUGGGUGUAUAAAAAGAAUGCUUUGGUUCCAUAAGUUUGAUCGGUUUUUGUGAGCAGUGUCUAAGUUAAAUGUUCAAGAGAAUAAGUGAGUCAUGAGUGUAUUCUAUUCUUAGAAUUCUCUUGUAUUAAAUACCGAUGAGUUCAGUUGAGAAAAUCAACUAUGUUUGAGAUUUCAAGGCCGAUGUUUUCAAGACAAGUGAAGCACAUUUAGAAGCUGUAGACAAAGUGUUGAGAGGUAGUGCAACUGGCUAAAAAGAGUUUAGCUAGAGAUAACCGAGUUCAGAGUUAUCCGAGAGGUUGUAAGUGUACCUUGUAUUUGGUUUACUAUCUUAUAAUGUGUGCUUAAGCACUUGGCCUGAGGCCCGCAGUUGUUUACCUCAUUUUGAGGGUUUUACUGCGUAAACAUGUUCCUGUGUCCCUUAUUUUCUGUUAUUUUUUCUUAUGCUUGCAUAUGGUAGUUUCUUUAUACUGUUGGUUAGGGAUAGAUAGCUUUUUCCAAUCCCUCAGCAACGUUCAGAAAAUUGGAUACAAAUAAAAGUUAAUUGCCUAUUCACCCCCCCUCUAGGCCAUUCUAGUACUUUCAUAUUCUAUUAUGUGGUUUCAAUUUGAAGCAGCUGAUUCUUAUUAUUAUUAUUAAUAUAUUUUUACUU